rnacentral:rRNA from 1 species
UACGUAGGGUGCAAGCGUUGUCCGGAAUUACUGGGCGUAAAGAGCUCGUAGGUGGUUUGUCGCGUUGUCCGUGAAAACUCACAACUCAAUUGUGGGCGUGCGGGCGAUACGGGCAGACUGGAGUACUGCAGGGGAGACUGGAAUUCCUGGUGUAGCGGUGGAAUGCGCAGAUAUCAGGAGGAACACCGGUGGCGAAGGCGGGUCUCUGGGCAGUAACUGACGCUGAGGAGCGAAAGCGUGGGGAGCAAACAG